AUAAAAUUUAUCAUCUGGUUUUAUCCCUGCAUCAUGAAAAACAAUAUAUAAUAUGCAUAUAUAUAUAUCAAGAAAAAAAUAUUCAGCUAUAUUUGAAGGGCAUAAGAAAUGAAUAUUGUACCAGCAUUGGUGAGGGCAUGAAGGAGGUUAGCUUUCUGUUUGAGUUUGAGACCGGCUUCAAAAUAAUCGUGUUGGUCGAGCUCAGACUCAGCACAAGUUCCGUGCUUCUCCCAUUCGUGUGUCCAAAAGUGCACACCAUCGUUGCUGGGACACGACAAUGUUGGCCAUUCUCUUUGUAAGUUGCUCAUCAGAUCAGAUACCUUCAUUUUUCAUUUUCCAGUUUUCAUUAUUAAAUGUUUCACAACAUUAUUAAUCUAUAAGUUUCUUUUGCUUGCGAAACCAUACAAACGCUCCCAAGAACCGAACCGAAAUAGACAAUAUGGUUUGGUUUUGGUAUAUACCAUAUAAACCGAAUGGAUAUAAUUUUAUAAAAACCGUAGGAUUUGGAUAUGGUUUGGUAUAUAACCGAUUAAACCGAAUAAACCGAACAAAACCGAUUAAAAGUAGAAACAUGUAAAUAUGUAUCUAUUUUAUAACAAUACAUGAAAAUCUAUUUGUUACAUAAGUUAAAUUUGUGUUAAUAACUAUUACUAUAAUUUUAUAGUAAUAAAAAACCUUAAUUUGUAAAACACUUGAACUAUAACUAAAUAACAAUACAUCACAAUUCAGACAUCUUAUUUUCUAAGUUUUUUUUUGAUCUUUUUGCUUAUUUUAGUCUUCACUAAAUUAAUAUGAAGAUUAUAAAUUUGAUGGACAAUAAUUAAUGGAAAAUUUUCAAUUGAAAAAACAUGAUUUUAAUGAACACUAAAUAUGAAAGAGUGAAAAAACUUUUCUUUCAUGUUUCUAAUUUGUUUCAUAUUUUUAUUUUCAAAAUUUCAAGCUUUGAUUUUAGUUAUAGAUUUGAUUAUUUUAUUUGAUGGUAGAAGCAUUUUUAUUUUUUUGUUCAUUUAUUUGAACAUGUAAUCUAUCUUUAAUAAAUGACUGCGUUGAUAAUAUGACUAAAAUUCAUAUAAUAUGAUCUCAAACAAAAUAAUUAUGUUUUUUGGUAUAAAACCGAAUAAACCGAAAACCGACGGUAUAUAAACCGAACCGAACCGAAGUAAAUAUGGAUUUAGAAUGGUAGUUAUAUUUUACUAACCGAAAUACCGAAAACCGAAAAAAACCGAACCGAAACCGAACCGAUAUCCGGAUUGAACACCCCUAGCUGAUACUAUGAUGAUUACUAACCACAUCGAAUGGAGACGUUUGAACAAUCAAAAUUUGAACAUUAAUUGCGCCUAGUAGUGAUUUUUUGAUCUCUACAUAAAUUACAUAAAGGAGAAAAAAACAAAAGAGAAAUUUGGCAAGCAAACUUCAAAGGGUAAUUAAGCAAGUUCCCAAGUCAUGAUAGCGUGAGAUCAAGAUGCAUGUGAGGUUGUUUUCAUUUGUAAGUUGUAACGCAUCACCAUACAUCGCCAAGUCAUAUUACCUUUUUCCUGUUUGGAGGAAAAAGGAACAAUCGGACUGUAGUUUUCACGUUGGUCUUUCGGUUUGAUACACGUCAUGACUCAAGCAACACUCAUCAUGACUUUGUAAGCACAUAAUCAUUGGCUUGAACCAAUGACUGUCAUGUUUGCUCUGACUCAACUAUGUUUACUAACCUUGAACCUGUCCAUAAUACUUUUGUAACUCUUCCUGAUAGUAGAACUCAUAUUUUCGUAACACUUUCUGAAACUAUUUUCAUUGUGAGAACCGAAAUUCACACCGACGAUUUCCGUAAUCAGAGGAAAGCCAAAAAAACCUAACUUUCCUUGAGGUCCCGGAUUCUCUGUGAAAACCAACGACAAGUGACCAAAUAAUGCGGGAAAUAUGAAAAGAAAACAAAACGAAUUUACAGUAGAUAUUUAUUUCGAAUCCGCGUAAUAGCGUUGCGAUUAUUACAAAAGAUUAUAAAAGCUUCGGCCACAAGAGCUGUUAACGAGUUCUCUAGUUCUAGCCACCAAAAACCUUAAACCUAGUUGAGUCGCAGCUCGAUAGCGACAAACGAAAAAGAUACGAAAAAAUGGUUUUUUUUAAACAUUUUUUUUAAGUAUUUAUUUAUUUAUUUAUUUAUUUAAAUCCUAAAUUUUACAUUCCAAAAACCCUACCUCACACCUCAACUCUAAACCCUAAGUCUAGAUUAAUUAACCAUAGGGUUAUAAAUCUUUUUUUUCUCUCUUUAAAAGUAAAGGUAAAAGUGGUUAGUGCAAGAUGAAAAGUGGUAUUAUGAAUGCGGGUCUUUGGCAAUUUUCCAUGAAUCUUUUGCUGCUUAAUGAAUAAGACAUUUUUGAAAAUGUCUCUUUAAUGGUGGUAAACAUGAAUAAUAGUACCAACAAUGUGGUAAACAUGAAAAUUCCCCAAAUUUUUAACCAAAUAAAAAGAAUAAAACUACAAAAUGCAUUUAUGGUUUUAUUUUUUUCAAACCGAUAAAGUUAAAUUAAAAAAAUAUAAUGUUCGAACGUAAAAUAAAUUUUACAAAAAUAAAAAUAAUAUCAUAUUUUAAAUUUUUAUUUUUUUGCAUGGCGCAAAAAAAAUGCUAGUUAGAAAACAUAUAAAAGGAUAAGGGGAAAUUUCCUUUUGAUACCACAAUUUAUGUUUACCUUCAUUAAAUGAACAUUUUCACAAAUAUUUUCUUUUAAAACUUCACAAAUACCUUCUUCAUGAAAGAGGUAAAAGACUUUUCCACCCUUGCUUUAUUUUUCUUUUUUCUUUUUUUCGAAUCAUUUUCUUCGAUUUUUUUUUGAAAUUCAAAACUUUUUUUGAAACUAUUUUUAAAACAUCUUAACAAUUUUUAGGUGUUUAUUUAUAUAUAUACUAAAUCCUAAACCUCACUUUCCAAAAGGGAAAAUUUCACUUUUACUUUGAUUUUCGUAGCUCAAUUCAUAUUUACCUUCGUAAAAAGGAUAUUUUCACAAAUACUUUCUUCAUUAAAGAGGCAAAACAAAAACCCUCUAUCAUUGCUUUAUAGAUAUAUAAAUAAAUAAAAUAUAAAAACGGUUUAUUUUGUAACUCUCUCCUUUUAUAUUAGAAAUUUUAAAACACUAUAAAAUUCUCAACAUAACUGGUAGAAAAUUGUAAAGUAGCAUUCUAAGUAGAGAUAAAUAAGUUGACAAAAAAGUAGAGAUAAAUAAUAAACUUAAUGAUUCGUUUUUUUUUUGCUAAAACAUUUGUAGUUCUUUUUUUUCUAAGAUUGAUUUAUUAUGAUAUUACAAUUAUGAGAAAGAUUACAUAGAGGAUCAUAAAUAAAUGGAAUGGGGUAUCAUCCGAUCAUGUAUUUUUAUUGCAAUUAAAAGUUGCAGAGAAACACAAACAAAAACCAAAUAAGUACAAUAAUGGUUUCGUAAAUAAAAUUAAAAAUCAGCCCUGAGAUCUAGAACUUGGGAAAUUGAACUCGAGAGUCGCAUCGACCAUGUGGCAUAACAGGACAGUUGAUGAAGUUGGAGGCCGAAGUGUCAACGCAUAGAUAAAUCUGAUAAAGUUGGCUAUUAUGCGAUGAAUCCUUGUUACAUUCUAUUCCCGGAGCAAAUCCAAUUGCUUCCUUGAUCGCCCUCUCAAUAUCUUUUAUUUCAUAAAAUUUAUCAUCUGGUUUUAUCCCUGCAUCAUGAAAAACAAUAUAUAAUAUGCAUAUAUAUAUAUCAAGAAAAAAAUAUUCAGCUAUAUUUGAAGGGCAUAAGAAAUGAAUAUUGUACCAGCAUUGGUGAGGGCAUGAAGGAGGUUAGCUUUCUGUUUGAGUUUGAGACCGGCUUCAAAAUAAUCGUGUUGGUCGAGCUCAGACUCAGCACAAGUUCCGUGCUUCUCCCAUUCGUGUGUCCAAAAGUGCACACCAUCGUUGCUGGGACACGACAAUGUUGGCCAUUCUCUUUGUAAGUUGCUCAUCAGAUCAGAUACCUUCAUUUUUCAUUUUCCAGUUUUCAUUAUUAAAUGUUUCACAACAUUAUUAAUCUAUAAGUUUCUUUUGCUUGCGAAACCAUACAAACGCUCCCAAACUAUUAAUGUCCUAGUUAAAAAGAAUUACUUUAAAAAAAUAUAUAACAUGUUUAAAGUUAAAAACAAACCCGUAAUUCAUCAAAUGUGCUAUCAGGCUUACAGUUUUGAGGCCAUCCACCAGUUUUGUAGUUAGGCCAAAGACCAUGAAUUCCAAAAUCCGC
rnacentral:lncRNA from 1 species